GAUUACUUUGCGGCGGAGGCGCCCUUUGCGCUCGGCGGCGUCUUCAUGUGGGAGUGGGACCUUCACUUCCUGCCUCUCUCCGUACCACCCUCACCGUCCACUCUUCUCCCUCACCAUCUCUUCCUGUUAUGAACGGUAUAUUUAUAAUUCCAAACUUUUUUUUUCCUCUUCUUCCUUUUUUUUUUUUAAAAAAAAUUCCUAUAAUCAGGACUUCAAUUUUACGACAAUAUUUAAUGUUAGGUUUUAGGUUGCUUAUCUUAUCUGCACUUAAUGUGUAUUUAGUUGCAACGAGGCUGGUUGCUAGCUAUAUAGAUUUUCUGUUGCUUGCAAUGGUUUUGUCCUAUCAUUUAGUUUACUUCUUCUCACUUUCUGUAAGUGGGCUACUCUGACAUAACUUUGUAUCUGAAUUGGUUUCAUUGUAUAUACUCCAAUAAUUCAUUUGAUGAAUUUGAUUUACUUUUGAUACUCCCCUCUUUACCUGUUUGGUUAGUGUCUUGUUCAGCAACUAUGGCUAGUGAGGCGUCUGCCAAGGUUAUUGACGGAAAAGCAGUGGCAAAGCAAAUCAGAG
rnacentral:lncRNA from 1 species